AAGGAUAUAUUCGGAACAUCUUCUACGAAGAUGCGGAAUAACGUGACAUAUUGUAUUCAGUUUUGAAUGUUUAUUAACAUUUAUUUAUAUGUAAUGGGCCUAUAGCUCAGCUGGUUAGAGCGCACGCCUGAUAAGCGUGAGGUCGGUGGUUCGAGUCCACUUAGGCCCACCAUUAUUUUGUACAUUGAAAACUAGAUAAGUAAGUAAAUUAGAUUUUACCAAGCAAAACCGAGUGAAUUAGAGUUUUAAAUAAGCUUGAAUUCAUAAGAAAUAAUCGCUAGUGUUCGAAAGAACACUCACAAGAUUAAUAACACAUACACACUUAUAUAAUUUUGAAAGAAAACGUUUGUCAGGCGAGGCKUUGAAGCAUUUCUAAGCGCAGUUUACUWWUGUAAAUGAGCAUUAGAAAUGAUGAAACAACAAAGCAUGCGMGCGUUUGACUCAAAAUGAAUGAGCUUUAAAAUGGUGAAACGAAGCCAUAUGAAUGCGAUUGACUUAAAGCGCAGUGUGGAA
rnacentral:misc_RNA from 1 species